rnacentral:rRNA from 1 species
GUAGGAUGCAAGCGUUAUCCGGAAUUAUUGGGCGUAAAGAGUUUGUAGGUGGCAAGUUAAGUUGAAUGUUAAAUCUCAGGGCUCAACUCUGGGGCUGCAUUCAAUACUGGCUAGCUCGAGGUAUGGAGAGGUAAGCGGAAUUAGUAGUGUAGCGGUGAAAUGCGUAGAUAUUACUAAGAACACCAAUGGCGAAGGCAGCUUACUGGCCAUAUCCUGACACUGAGAAACGAAAGCGUGGGGAGCGAACAGGAUUAGAUACCCUGGUAGUCCACGCCGUAAACGAUGAUCACUAGCUGUUCGGGGAGUCGACCCCCUGAGUAGUGUAGCUAACGCGUUAAGUGAUCCGCCUGGGGAGUACGGUCGCAAGGCUA